UACAGAGGUCUCAAGCGUUGUUCGGAUUCAUUGGGCGUAAAGGGUGCGUAGGCGGCGCGGUAAGUCGGGUGUGAAAUCUCGGAGCUUAACUCCGAAACUGCAUUCGAUACUGCCGUGCUUGAGGACUGGAGACGAGACUGGAAUUUACGGUGUAGCGGUGAAAUGCGUAGAUAUCGUAAGGAAGACCAGUGGCGAAGGCGGGUCUCUGGACAGUUCCUGACGCUGAGGCACGAAGGCCAGGGGAGCAAACGGG
rnacentral:rRNA from 1 species